rnacentral:rRNA from 1 species
GGCUAACGCUGGCGGCGUGUCUUAGCCAUGCAAGUCGAGCGGACUUAUGGGGUAACUUAUAAGUCAGCGGCGGACGGCGGAGUAACACGUAGCUAACCUACCCUCUGGACGGGGAUAACCUACCGAAAGGUGGGCUAAUACCCGAUGUAGUCAUCCUGUAUAGGGGUGAUGAAAGGUGGGCUUCUGUUUACAAGCUCAUGCUGGAGGAGGGGGCUGCGGCCUAUCAGGUAGUUGGUAGGGUAAUAGCCUACCAAGCCGAUGACGGGUAGCCGGCCUGAGAGGGUGACCGGCCCGAGGGGCACUGAGAUACGGGUCCCACUCCUACGGGAGGCAGCAGGCUAGAAAUUUGGGCAAUGGGGGAAACCCUGACCCAGUGACGCCGCGUGCAGGAAGGAGCCCUUUCGGGGUGUAAACUGCUGUCGUGUAGGGAGAAGGGUACUAAGGUGAACAAUCUUAGUACUUGACGGUACUACAGGAGGAAGCCCAGGCUAACCUCGUGCCAGCAGCCGCGGUAAAAUAGCUACU